AUGGAGACAAAGACCCGGAGAGAGACGGGCACGCGGAGAGCUCUGGUGCUGGAUGGAAACGGAACUGGCGUCGGCCUGAAGGGGAGGAGGAUGAGGGGAGAGAGACAGACGGACAGUGAGAAAGGGACAGAGAGGGACAGAGACUCAGAGACAGAGAGAGCGAGCCCUGGGAUGGGGAUUUGGAGCCGGGUGACCGGCCAGCCCAGUUAUUCCCUGCUGAGCCGUUCCUGGGAUGUGGGGCUUUUGGGGCUAAAUCCAGGAAAGUCCCGCGCACACGGGGACCCGCUGGUCCCCCUGGGUGGGACCGAGGAACAGGACAGCACUGGGCCCCCGGAUGUCCUGGGUCCCCGGGGCGUGAGUUGUCCUUGUCCUCUCUUGCCGCACGCGCCUCCCACCACCCCUGCAGGCCCUGCCCUGGGAAACGACGUUUUCUGCCAUCUUUGGUUUUCCGACUCCCAAACGUUUCCAAACCGAAGGUUAAUUUUUGCUCCGCGUUCUGCGCGUUUUCAUGUACCCACGGAGCCACCUGAGAAAGGGCACCGACUCCAAGGGGACAAUCUGUCACUUCCGUGUCUGGGAAUCGCAUUCCGGCGACGCCUCCCGCCCCCGCCUGCGCAUCUGACUCUCGGGGAACCUUUUAAAAGCCGAUCGAUGCCCAGGCCCCGUCCCCGGACGCCGCGGUUUCAGUGGGCCCGGGGGUGGGGGAUGGGGGGUGUGUGGGGGGGAGCUGGGCUCCGGGAGCUUCAAAUGCUCCCCCGGGGGGUCCCGCGGGCGAGUGCCUGUGGUUGUGAAAAUGCAACACGAUAUAGCUUCCGGGAGGGACUGAGAAACCCAGCACUGAGUGGUUGCAAAGCCCGCGGGCGGGGCAGGGACGCAAAGACCGACUUCUCUAUCAAUAUUUGUUUGUUUUCUAAACCUCCAAUGCCAAGACCCAAGCUGGGGGUCCAGCAGGAGUCAGGUCUUAUUCUGGGCGGCCCCACCUCUCCCCCAUUAUCAAGCUCCCAGUUACAGCCACCAAAGAUGGGACGGGAGAGGAGCGGGCGGUGGGAGGGAGGAGGCAGGCCGACUCAUUGA
rnacentral:lncRNA from 1 species